UGUGGACCCUCCAGUUGAUAUUCCCAUAGGUAACUACUACUUUUCUAUCUACAAUCAAGGAUUUCUUUUGCUUGUUGAACAUAGACAACUAUUGAGAGAUUCUGUGGAUGAUUGAAGUGAGAUUUUUGAAGACAUUUUAAUGAUGUGUGGGGGGAGUUUGUGGGAUAACUAGAUUUGGGUUCAGUUUUCCUGAAUGCUGUGCUUUCUCUGUCUCCAAGAACAGCAUGGCCAGUUUCACCACCUGUAUCACAUCCUCUUAGGGUUAUGAUAAUGAAUGGGGGAAUUCACUGGGAAACAGUGGAAAAUGGUAUUUUCCAGGCCUCUGGAGGCCUGCCAGGGAACUAGAGCUCAGUCACCAGAGAUGGGUGGGGUUGGAGUCCCGAAGGCCCGCCUGCAUGACUGUGUUUGAGCAACUGACCUGGCAACGGGGUGGGCCUGACAAACAGUCUCCUCUGUCAUCUCUUCAGGCCACUAUGGUGCUGCUGAGGCUCCUGAUGCUUCUUUUUGCUCUGGUUGUCUCUGACCUCCACAGUCUGCCCUGGUUCAUAAAUGUGUCUGAACGCGAGGGUCCUGGAACCAUCCUUCAGUCUUUCUCCUUCAACUGCUCCUCCCACAUGCCUACCCUGGAAUUGGUCAAUGUGCAACCACCUACCACUUUCUUCAACCCACCCAGCCUGACCAAGUGGCAGGGGAUCUAUGUGGGAAAGGUGACUUUGAGCAGCUCAGCUCGGCUGGAUGCCCUUGCAGUAAACCACUAUGAGCUGCGGCUGCGAUAUACAUGUGGCAACAUUGUGAUGGAGGGACCACUCUUUGUGGAUGUGCAGCGGGACUCUGGCCAUAUCCAGUGUAUUGGUCGAUUUGCUAGCUCAGGUGGGGAAACCAUUCAGGUGCCAGAGACAGUCAAACCUGGGGCCCGGUUGUACACUCUGCUGCUCCCAGGCCUAGAAGUCCAGGGAACUCAGAUGAAUAUUAUCAGCGCCCAGGACCCUCCAUACUUCCCUGGACCUUUCUCCAUCAAUGAGCAGGGUUGGCUUCGGGCACCACCUCAGGGUCUCAAAGGCCAGGCUCAGAAGAUCUUCCAGCUGCAGAUCUCAGUGUCACUUGGACAAGGCCAAAGCUGCCAAAGAAUGCUGGUGGUAAAGAUUUUGCCUGCACCAUCCAGCCAGGUCUCCUUCCUACAGAAGGCCCAGAAUGUCACCAUUCCUGAAGACAAAAUCCCUGGGAGCAAGGUGGUUCAAGUCCAGGCUAGGGGCUUCAACUUGCGCUAUGAAAUCUUCUCUCCAGUGCCCAGUCCACUCUACUCCAUCGGAAGCGUGGAUGGGGUAGUCCAAACCACCAUGCCCCUAGAAUUGGCUCACUCCCGAGGUGCAGCGAUCACAAGGCUGCAGGUGAAGGCCUUUGAAAGGUUUCAGCCAUGGGCCAGUGCAGAGCUCGAUCUCACUGUGAAUGUGCUCUCUGUCAACCACUGGCCCCCACUCUGCAUCCCGGCUCUUCUGGUGACUCAAAUCCCGGAGACCACACCGGUGGGCACUGUGCUGAACACAAUCACUUGCACUGACCCAGACUCUGUUGGUGCCACCCUCAACUACCAGCUGUGGUUCCACAGCCCUCCUGGUCUUGCCAGUCUCUGCCUUCGUGACAGGGUCCUUGAGGUGAAUGCUACAUUGGACUGUGAUACUCCUGGGACCUGCUUCCAGCAUGCAGCCUCUAUUCUGGUGCUUGAUGGUGGUCAGCCCCAGAUGACCACUGAAGUUCCAGUACUGGUGAUGGUGACACCUGUCAAUGAGUUCACCCCAGCCUGUGCCCCACGCAUGUUCCGGGUUCAGGAAGAUGCAGGGCCUCACACACUGCUGGGCACUGUGGUGGGCACGGAUAUGGAUUACCCACACAACAGCAUUGAGUACUACACAUCUGAUGGAUCCUCUAUCUUUGCUGUGGAUCAUCUCAGAGAGAUUCACCUCCUGGGGACUCUGGAUUAUGAGCAGCAGAGGCUGUACAGACUGACUAUUCUGCUGAUUGACCAUGGCCAAGACUGGGACCCCACCUACCACCGCUCAGGUUCCUGUACCAUUACCAUUGAGGUUGAGGAUGUGAAUGACCAUCCCCCUGAGUGUGAGCCCCCAUUUCAGGAACUUACCAUCUAUACUACUCUGGGCCAUAGUGUGGAGGUGACCAAAGUAUCAUGCUGGAUACCCCAGGAGCCACAGCGCCUGGCCUUCUCCUACAGCAUCAUAGGAGGAGAUAGCAAGAACCAGUUCAGAUUGCAAGAGGCCAUCCUGGUGCACAAUGACUCUAUGUUGGGACCUCCUUGGCAAGAACAGCCUUGUACCUAUGAACUACUGAUCCGUGCGGCUGAUGCGGGUCCCUCCAUCCCCCACCUCAGCACCACAGUCACCAUCAUUGUGCAUCUAGUUCCCUGGAGGGCCAGCACCGUGGCCAUGAGCACCCAAAGAACCACAGUGCCCUCAGUGAUGACACCCCUGCUUGUAAGAUAUACAGAGACUUUCUGGCAGCCCGAACCCUGGUUUGUGGUGGUGCUCACAGCAACUGGUGCCCUUCUGCUUCUAGCUCUAGGAUGGCUGGUCAACAGGCUCCUUCAGAGAUUGACCCAGGUACUUCAGGCUCCAAGCAAAUCAGCCCAGGCUUUGAGGCUAAACAGCAUCCAGGGGAAUGAAGGAUCCAUUGAGUAGUUUGGAGGCACCAAGGAUGGAGAUGUCCCAGGUACCUAGCAGUGUCAUGAACUGGUACAGGCCAAGAUUACCUGUUCAACAUGAGUUCUAAAGCAUCUCUAAGGCGCUGGCUCUAAAGCAUCUACUUCACUGUGUGGAAUUUCUUCAUCACAUGAUCAUGUACUAUGAUUUCAAGUUGAUUCAAUAAUAAACAAAAUUACAAACAGAAUA